CUCGCGGGAUGGCUGAAUGCCGCGUCGCGUGUCGCCGGUGUCGACACCGGUGCGCGCAGGUUCGACGCAGGCACGUCGAUCCAUUCGACGUCGGCGGGGCC
rnacentral:tRNA from 1 species